GACGAACGCUGGCGGCGUGCCUAAUACAUGCAAGUCGAACGCAGUGGGGAUGGGUGAGUAACACGUGGGUAACCUCCCAUCAGAGGGGAUAACACUUGGCAACAGGCGCUAUACCGAUAUUGAUGGCAGGACCCGCGGUGCAUUAGCUAUUUGGUGAGGUAACGGCUCACCAAGGCCCCGAUGCAUAGCCGGCCUGGGAGGGUGAUCGGCCACCCUGGGACUGAUCAACGGCCCAGAUCCCUACGGGAGGCAGCAGUAGGGAAUCUUCGGCAAUGGACGAAAGUCUGACCGAGCAACGCCGCGUGAGUGAAGAAGGUUUUCGGAUCGUAAAACUCUGUUAUUAGAGAAGCGGUAUCUAACCAGAAAGCCACGGCUAACUACGUGCCAGCAGCCGCGGUAAUAC
rnacentral:rRNA from 1 species